GCAGGUGUAGUUUAAUGGUAGAGCAUCAGCCUUCCAAGCUGAUUACGCGGGUUCGAUUCCCGUCACCUGCUCCA
rnacentral:tRNA from 2 species